AGGAAAGGCGAGGCUCUGCAUCUAGAUUUACCUCGUUCUCUUUUGUCUCCGCUUUUUUUUCACAUUUCCUUGCGACCCUGGCCCUUGAGCGACAAAAAGGGGAAGCCAAGGCUGGCCCGAGGAACGGAGAGGGCACAUGGCCUAGCCACAAGUGGAGCUUCUGCUCCGCCCGAAGGGAUGCGCUGGAGCGGCCUCUUCCUUCUGCCACGGUCUUUCUUUGCCAACUAGUAGGUGGAGACUGGACCUCAGAAGAGGGAGUGGGUGCCCCGAGAACUCACAGCUAGCGGACAGUGGAAAGGGCAGGAGCCGGACCAAGGUGAGGACAGUGGAACUGAAGGCCGCUGGUUACCUCUCCUGCCCUCCGCUGGCCACAGUGGAGAAGACAGCCCCUCCCUCCUGCUCUGACCUGACAGUGUUCAUCCAUCGCCCUGUAUUAGCGAAGAACAACAUCAAGCUGGCUAGCAAGGAACUGUAUACAGGGUCCAGCUGGGUAUCACACUGGAUCUCACCCAAAGCUUAGAUGUGAUCCAGCUCAGUAUCACAAAGCAGAACGAAAAGGAUGUGUUUGGGCUGAGAGGCCAUACAUUGGUAAGUGGCACAUGAACUGUAUUUUCUAUUGAGCAUUGCUGGUAUAUGGCAAAUUUGCAUAAAAUUAUAUUGAAAUUGA
rnacentral:lncRNA from 10 species